AAGCACAAGUUUUCAUUCUACUGGGUUUUACAGAGCUCCUGGGGCCUUCAAUCGAGCUUUCUGGCGAUGGCCGCACAAGUACCAGUAGCCGCAAUGGAUGGAAAUAAUCCCGGGGUGUCUAAACUCCAGCGGAUUCGAUAUCCCAAGUUAUCAAUUUUCUACCGUAUCAUCUGUAAAAGGAACUACAAGAACUUUUACAAUCAAGAGAAAACUCGGGGAGCUUAAUUCGUUCUAUCGAAAGCUAAGUGCAGUUGAAUGCUACACACCUGGGCAGCAGCGUUCAGUGUUAAAAGUUACGUUGAACAAAAACGAUGAUGGGGCAGAAAACCUCCUGCCUGUUGUAAACUUUCUGAAUUCGGCUAUUCGGCGCAGGAGGAGAAAAGAAUAAUGUCCCGGCCUUCUUAAUUCAUCUGAUGUGGAUGUCGGCAAGGAUCGCAAAACCCUUUUGGAACCCUGUGCGGCUGACCAUAGGUCCGGGCCUUUAGAGACGAGUGAAAGUGCAUCGAGCAAUGGAAACAACGUGAAAGAAGCGAGUGCAGUUUUCGAAAAUCUUCGGAUAAUUUUUAAUAGGAUAAGCGAAAAUGUCUACAGUUUUAGUUGAAUAUUAAAGCGAUGUAAACAAAUUUCUUAUUGAACUUAUUUUUUAUUAGAACAGAAAGCCCUAUAAAACACAAAGUGUAAAAUUACAUCACAUAUGAUGUAACCAAAAAGAAGCAUAAUAAACGACGGAAUUUUCCAU